rnacentral:rRNA from 1 species
AACGCGAAGAACCUUACCUGGGCUUGACAUCCCUGGAAUCCCCUUGAAAGAGGGGAGUGCCCGCAAGGGAGCCAGGAGACAGGUGCUGCAUGGCUGUCGUCAGCUCGUGUCGUGAGAUGUUGGGUUAAGUCCCGCAACGAGCGCAACCCUCACCCUCAGUUGCCACCGGGUCAUGCCGGGCACUCAGAGGGAACUGCCCCGGAUAACGGGGAGGAAGGUGGGGAUGACGUCAAGUCCUCAUGGCCUUUAUGCCCAGGGCUACACACGUGCAACAAUGGCCGGUACAAAGGGCUGCAAUCCCGCGAGGGGGAGCCAAUCCCAGAAAACCGGUCCCAGUUCGGAUUGGAGUCUGCAACUCGACUCCAUGAAGUCGGAGUCGCUAGUAAUCGCGGAUCAGAACGCCGCGGUGAAUACGUUCCCGGGUCUUGUACACACCG